rnacentral:rRNA from 1 species
AGAGUUUGAUCAUGGCUCAGGACGAACGCUGGCGGCGUGCCUAAUGCAUGCAAGUCGAGCGGGCUACGAUCUUCGGAUUGUAGCUUAGCGGCGAACGGGUGAGUAACACGUAGGUAAUCUACCCUUCAGAGGAGGACAACCUCAGGAAACUGAGGCUAAACCUUCAUACGUUCACUGGUAGGGAUACUGGUGAAGAAAGAGUUACCUUAGUGGUAGCUGCUGAAGGAUGAGCCUGCGGCCCAUCAGGUAGUUGGUGAGGUAACGGCUCACCAAGCCGAAGACGGGUAACCGGUCUGAGAGGAUGUCCGGUCACACUGGGACUGAGACACGGCCCAGACUCCUACGGGAGGCAGCAGCAGGGAAUCUUGGGCAAUGGGCGAAAGCCUGACCCAGCGACGCCGCGUGGAGGAAGAAGUCCUUCGGGGCGUAAACUCCUGGACUGGGGGACGAGGAAGGACGGUACCCCAGUAGAAAGGGACGGCUAACUACGUGCCAGCAGCCGCGGUAAAACGUAGGUCCCGAGCGUUGUUCGGAUUCACUGGGUGUAAAGGGCGCGUAGGUGGUUGUCUGUGUCUCAUGUGAAAACUCAGGGCUCAACUCUGAGAUUGCGUGGGAAACUAGGCAGCUAGAGGACGGUAGAGGGGAGUGGAAUUCCCGGUGUAGCGGUAAAAUGCGUAGAUAUCGGGAGGAACACCGGUGGCGAAGGCGGCUCUCUGGGCCGAUCCUGACGCUGAGGCGCGAAAGCUAGGGGAGCGAACCGGAUUAGAUACCCGGGUAGUCCUAGCCGUA